rnacentral:lncRNA from 1 species
GAGCUCCUUUCGGAUUCAUUUCCCUACACUGAACUUGAGAAUGGAGUGCUUUGGGAAGUACAAGGGAAGGUAGGAUUUUUUAACUUCAUUUGCCACCACACAUUUUGUCUCUUAACACGUAUAUAUUUUUACAAACUGUCUAUUGUAUAAGAAAGGUUGUGAUGUCUUUUUUUCUUCUUUUUUUGCAUUUCAGUGGGUUGUUCAGGGAGCUGUUGAUGUGAACAUCGGGGCGAAUCCAUCUGCUGAAGGUGCAGAUGAAGACGAAGGUGUUGAUGAUCAAGCCAUCAAGGUUGUUGAUAUUGUUGACACUUUCAGGCUUCAGGAGCAGCCUUCUUUUGACAAGAAGCAGUUUGUUGCCUACAUGAAGAAAUAUAUCAAGAGCCUUACACCCAAGUUAGGCGCAGAGCAGGAAGAAGUUUUUAAGAACAACAUUCAAGGAGCAACCAAGUACCUUUUGUCAAAGCUCAGUGACCUUCAAUUCUUUGU